UAAGGAAUAUUGGUCAAUGGAGGCAACUCUGAACCAGCCAUGCCGCGUGAAGGAUUAAGGCCCUCUGGGUUGUAAACUUCUUUUAUAUGGGAAGAAAUGUUCUGAUUCUUCAGAGCUUGACGGUACCAUAGGAAUAAGCACCGGCUAACUCCGUGCCAGCAGCCGCGGUAAUACGGAGGGUGCAAGCGUUAUCCGGAUUCACUGGGUUUAAAGGGUGCGUAGGUGGGCAGAUAAGUCAGUGGUGAAAUCUUCCGGCUUAACCGGAAAAUUGCCGUUGAGACUAUUUGUCUUGAAUAUUGUGGAGGUAAGCGGAAUAUGUCAUGUAGCGGUGAAAUGCUUAGAUAUGACAUAGAACACCAAUUGCGAAGGCAGCUUACUAUAUAAUUAUUGACACUGAGGCACGAAAGCGUGGGUAGCGAACA
rnacentral:rRNA from 1 species